CGGAGGGAUCAUUAAAGAGUUCUAUAACUCCCAAACCCAUGUGAACAUACCUAACGUUGCCUCGGCAGGUCGCACCUACCUUGUAGCACCCUACCCUGUAGGGCCUACCCGGGAGGUGCGGGUAAGCCUGCCGGCGGCCCACCAAACUCUGUUUGAUAUUGAAUUCUGAACCUAUAACUAAAUAAGUUAAAACUUUCAACAACGGAUCUCUUGGUUCUGGCAUCGAUGAAGAACGCAGCGAAAUGCGAUAAGUAAUGUGAAUUGCAGAAUUCAGUGAAUCAUCGAAUCUUUGAACGCAUAUUGCGCCCAUUAGUAUUCUAGUGGGCAGGACCGUUCGAGCGUCAUUUCAACCCUUAAGCCUUCGUUGCUUAGUGUUGGGAGCCUACGGCAACGUAGCUCCUCAAAGUUAGUGGCGGAGUUGGUUCACACUCUAGACGUAGUAAUUUUUUAUCUCGCCUAUUAGUUGGACUAAUCCCCUGCCGUAAAACCCCCAAUUUAUCAAGGUUGACCUCGAAUCGGUUCAGACAAACUCGCUAAAUUGAAGCAUCUUAGUCAGCGAAGGAAAAGAAACCAACAGGGAUUGCCCUAGUAACGGCGAGUGAAGCGGCAACAGCUCAAAUUUGAAAUCUGGC
rnacentral:rRNA from 1 species